rnacentral:rRNA from 1 species
CUAGUAACGGCGAGUGAAGCGGCAACAGCUCAAAUUUGAAAUCUGGCUUCGGCCCGAGUUGUAAUUUGCAGAGGAUGUUUCUGGCGCGGUGCCUUCCGAGUUCCCUGGAACGGGACGCCACAGAGGGUGAGAGCCCCGUAUGGUUGGACACCAAGCCUGUGUGAAACUCCUUCGACGAGUCGAGUAGUUUGGGAAUGCUGCUCAAAAUGGGAGGUAAAUCUCUUCUAAAGCUAAAUACCGGCCAGAGACCGAUAGCGCACAAGUAGAGUGAUCGAAAGAUGAAAAGCACCUUGAAAAGGGGGUUAAACAGUACGUGAAAUUGUUGAAAGGGAAGCACUUGUGACCAGACUUGUGCCGGGCGGUUCAUCCGGGGUUCUCCCCGGUGCACUCCGCCCGGUAUAGGCCAGCAUCGGUUCUUUCUGGGGGAUAAGAACGGUGGGAACGUGGCCCUCCCUCGGGAGGGUGUUAUAGCCCGCCGUACGAUACCCUGGAGGGGACCGAGGUUCGCGCUCCGCAAGGAUGCUGGCGUAAUGGUCACCAGUGACCCGUCUUGAAACACGGACCAAGGAGUCGUCCAUUAGAGCGAGCGUUUGGGUGUCAAACCCGCACGCGUAAUGAAAGUGAAAUUAGGUGAGAGCUUCGGCGCAUCAUCGACCGAUCCUGAUGUUCUCGGAUGGAUUUGAGUAAGAGUUUUAACGGACGGACCCGAAAGACAGUGAACUAUGCUUGUAUAGGGUGAAGCCAGAGGAAACUCUGGUGGAGGCUCGCAGCGGUUCUGACGUGCAAAUCGAUCGUCAAAUAUGAGCAUGGGGGCGAAAGACUAAUCGAA